AUGUUGGGGGGAAAGCCAACAAUUGUCGAGACUCUGGCAAAUGUGGAACUCCUCACCAGAAAUGACUCACAAUCACUGCUGUCAAGGUGCAUGGGACUUUGCUUUUGCCGUCGUCAGAGCACCUUCGUUGGUUACAGACAUUCGUCCUUACAUAAGGCCAAACUCAGCACACCCAUAAAAACUCUGAAUGCUGCUAACAGUGUGAUUAUGAAAGGCUCAUGAAGUCAGGAGCUGGGGCAGCCAUCUUGCAAUCAUUGAAGAGGGAGGCCUAUGUGGCCAAGAACUAAGGGAGAUCUCCAGCCAAUGGCCAGUGAGGAGCUUCCACACACUGACAUGGAAGAGGGGCCUCCCCCAGUCAAACCUUCAGAUGGGACUGCAGCCCUGGAUGACAGAUUGACUGCAAUCUCAUGAGAUACCUGGAGCCAGAAGCUCCCAGCUCAGCCAUGCCUGGAUUUAUAACCCACGGGAAUUGCAAGAUAAUAAAGGAUGAUUGUAAGCUGCUAUGUUUGGGGAU
rnacentral:lncRNA from 1 species